CAAACAAGAUGCUGUUUUGGAAAAAGAUACAUGUUCAGCUGACAUUAAAGAGGACAUGAAACAUUAAACAUAGUUAUCAUAAUUUAAAGAGGGUCUCUCACCCUAAAAAGCUAAUUUUAGUUUAAACACUGAAAAUGAAAGGAAUCUCAAAAUCCUGUCAUUUAAGUUCAGCUGUUAAAACAAAGGGCGGCGCCAUGUCUGUUGUGUCGCCGGACGUGACGUCACCGGAGUGGUUGUCAAGCUAGUGAUCGCAGUGAAGUGAAGACAGUGGAGCAUUUCUGAACUGGGUUGAGCGCCACACUUUUUGACAAUGGAGGAAGACGAACUGGAGAGGCCUGUUGAGUCUGUGACAAGCCCCAUUGCCUACGCAUAUGAGCCUAUAAGGCGUGGGAAUCGAGCAGUGGUACGGGAGGAAGAAGUGGUUGAGCCGGUGAUUUGGGGUCAAGGGCGUGUCGGCAACAUUACGUGGUGUCAGUGUGGCGAUGCCCACUGUGCCAGAGUCCAUUUGGUGCCAGGAGGCUGGUCUGGACCAUCUUCUCCAUGACCACCCCUGCAUCACCAUGGUGCGCUCAUUCAGCACCCUGUGCCGGGAGGUGGACGUGUUGGAGGUAGCGAUGCUUUCGCUGAGGGAUGUCAGAGCUGAGACGCUGCAGCGCCCGUCACCAGCAGUCUCUUUAGGUUGACUGCCUACAGACAGUUUACCCUCUGGGCCAGGGGCCAUUUGGGAAGGAAGAACCGGGUCCCGAUUCCAGCCUGUGUGGCCUGGCCUUCCACAGAUGUACAGUAUGAGUGGUCAUUGUUUAUGACCUGGUUGGUAAGUAUGUCAUCUGUCAAAGUGCCUGUGCAAAUGUACUGCUUAUUGUCUCCCUCUUCUGUAUCCUGUUGAAAUGGAUCGGUCUGGGUGCCGACACUGACUGUCAGGGUGUGCACACUGCCUGUCACCUGCUCUAUCUCCUCACUGAUGUCAGCCUCUGGGAAUUUGCUGCUGGCCACCAGUUGCAUGCAUGCCUGCCUAACCUGUUAACACAAAUGUACACUUUUUAGGUACCCAAAUGAUGUUAUCAGCCUUAACAUGAAAGACUUUGUACUUACAUCCUGACUACUGAUUUAUUAAAGAUUCAUAUACCCUAAA